rnacentral:rRNA from 1 species
AUGUCCAAUAUACUUUUCUCAAAAAAAAAUUUAACCAAGCUCACGGAUAUUAUUAGAAACCUUUGGUGGACAGGUGUUCAAGAUGACCAAACAAUAAGAAGCCUUUGUCUAAGGGCAUGGACGAAUAUUUGCACGGACAAGAAACUUGGUGGCCUAGGCAUCAGGAAUUUGCAGGCGAUCAAUCAAGGUCUCAUUCGCUUGGCCGCAUGGAGACUUGCAAAGGAACCAGAAAGCCAGUUGGACCAAAUACUCAAGGCUAAGUACCAUCAUGACACACCUAUUUGGAGGGCAAAGCCUAACACACCAAAGUAUACUUUCUGGUCCGCAAUUUUGAAGGUAUGGAAAGAGAAGCAUAUGGCUCCAAGAGUCCAAACAUUCGCUUGGAGACUUCUUAGGAAAGCACUUGCUACAGGUAAAAGGGCAGAUUUCAUUGCCCCACAUAAUAGUUCAGUCUCACAAAUGAUCCAAGCCCUCCUCACUUCCAAUCAUCCAUAA